CCUACGGGCGGCAGCAGUGAGGAAUAUUGGUCAAUGGACGAGAGUCUGAACCAGCCAAGUAGCGUGAAGGAUGACUGCCCUAUGGGUUGUAAACUUCUUUUAUAAAGGAAUAAAACGAGGCACGUGUGCCUUUUUGUAUGUACUUUAUGAAUAAGGAUCGGCUAACUCCGUGCCAGCAGCCGCGGUAAUACGGAGGAUCCGAGCGUUAUCCGGAUUUAUUGGGUUUAAAGGGAGCGUAGAUGGGUUGUUAAGUCAGUUGUGAAAGUUUGCGGCUCAACCGUAAAAUUGCAAUUGAUACUGGCAGUCUUGAGUACAGUUGAGGUAAGCGGAAUUCGUGGUGUAGCGGUGAAAUGCUUAGAUAUCACGAAGAACCCCGAUUGCGAAGGCAGCUUACUAAACUGUGACUGACAUUGAUGCUCGAAAGUGUGGGUAUCAAACAGGAUUAGAUACCCCAGUAGUC
rnacentral:rRNA from 1 species